AUUGGAAACUGAGGUGACACCUGAGGAGUCAUGGCCAGGUACCCAAAGGUCCCUCAGAAGAAACUAGCUCCCAACAGCCCAUCUGGGUAAUCAGCAGAAAAUCUCCACAUCUUGUCCUAUCUGGACUCCUCUGGGAGGUAAACCAGGAACUCGGUCAGUGAUCAUCAGAUAUCCUCUGUCUCGGAGUGAUCUGAAACAAUGCCAUCAGCGCCCUUUGUUAAGCCUCCAUUAAGAGCUGAGCUACAGCCUGCCCCUGAAAAAUAACACAGUUCUCAAUAGUAUUUAAUUCAAGGCACUUCCCUCCUCUGUGGCUGCUGGAUUUCAAGACAAAACUUGCAGAAUGACUUAAAAGCUGUGCAGCUACCAAGAUGACAAUGACAGGUGCCUACCGGAGGCCUUUAGAUAGACUCUCUGUAGAAUAAUUUGAACUGCUGAUCACAGCUAUGAACCUCUUCAGCUGGAGUAACCAGAGCUGUCUUCGUCCUUUACCCCCUCACAGUGGUUAGGGGUGCAUAGGAGACGGGAUCUGAAAGUGUCUGGAACGUGCCCAGGGAGGCAAAGGCAGUGGGAAUCAAGGCUGUUUGCUUGGAAGUCUUCUGAGAUUGUGCUUGUGCAAUCCUGUCCAGCCAAGUUCAGCUUCUCCUGCUCUGUUGCCGGAAAUCUAUCCUUGCUCAUCCAGUCCGAUUCCCUCAUGAUUUCCCAUGAAACUUUCCCAAACUUUUCUACUUCUCCCAAAUCAAAUCAACUCUCUCAUUCUUGCCAAAUCCUGGCAAGAUCCAAAUACUGUCCUCUGUCUUGUCUGACAGAACUUCCAGAUUUUUAUUUUACAUGCACUUCAUUUUGCUCUCAG
rnacentral:lncRNA from 1 species